UUGCCGCGUGCGGGAUCUUUAGUUGCGACAUGCAGGAUCUAGUUCCCUGACCAGGGAUUGAACCCAGGCCCCCCUGCAUUGGAAUCGUGGAGUCUUAACUGCUGGACCACCAGGAUCCCCGUGGACAUCGAUAGUGACCAAGGAAUCUGCUUUAUUGACCAUGAAGUUCAGGAAUGGGCCGAUACAAAGGACAUACAGGGGCAUUUCCACCUGCCUUACAACCCCACUGCUACCGGGCUACGAAGAGACUACUUAAACAACAGUUGAGCUGCACUUCUACCUACCUGUCCUCGGGGAUAUAGCAGAAGAAGUACGGG